rnacentral:rRNA from 1 species
UACGUAGGGGGCGAGCGUUGUCCGGAGUUACUGGGCGUAAAGGGCAUGCAGGCGGUCCGAGACGGUUUGUGUGACAGCGGGUGGCUUAACUACCCGAGGAUACGAAAGACGGUAGGACUUGAGGACUCGAGAGGGACACGGAAUUCCGGGUGGAGUGGUGAAAUGCGUAGAGAUCCGGAGGAACACCGAAGGCGAAGGCAGUGUCCUGGCGAGUGACUGACGCUGAGGUGCGAAAGCCAGGGGAGCGAACGGG